AAGUCGUAACAAGGUUUCGUGGCAUGGCUUCCCCAAGCAGUUAGUGAAUGACUCACUGACUGUGUAAGGAUAACGCCUCACGGUUGCUAGAGGUCGAUCACCGACCGACAGACAUGUCACAGGGUCACCACGCCCCUUAAUCACUCCACUUGAAAAUGCCCCGCCUAGUGGUAACGCGCUAGGUAAAAAAAACCGAACAACUGUUAACAAUGGAUAUCUUGGUUCUCGC
rnacentral:misc_RNA from 1 species